AUACUAACCAGUGACCGAUAGUGAACCAGUACCGUGAGGGAAAGGUGAAAAGAACCCCGGGAGGGGAGUGAAAGAGAACCUGAAACCGUGUGCCUACAAGUAGUCAGAGCCCGUUAACGGGUAAUGGCGUGCCUUUUGUAGAAUGAACCGGCGAGUUGCGUUAGUCAGCAAGGUUAAGUCAGAAAAGACGGAGCCGUAGCGAAAGCGAGUCUGAAGAGGGCGAACACGUAAGUUGAAAAUUGCGGGGAUGAGUUGUGGGUAGCGGUGAAAUUCCAAACGAACUUGGAGAUAGCUGGUUCUCUCCGAAAUAGCUUUAGGGCUAGCCUCGCAAAGAGGAUGCUGGAGGUAGAGCUCUGUUUGGACUAGGGGCCCGUCAAGGGUUACUGAAUUCAGAUAAACUGCGAAUUCCAGACAUUUAUGUGCGGGAGUCAGACUGCGAGUGAUAAGAUCCGUAGUCGAAAGGGAAACAGCCCAGAUCACCAGUUAAGGUCCCAAAAUUCAUGCUAAGUGGAAAAGGAUGUGGAGUUGCGCAGACAACUAGGACGUUGGCUCAGAAGCAGCCAUCAUUCAAAGAGUGCGUAAUAGCUCACUAGUCGAGUGACGCCGCGCCGAAAAUUUACCGGGGCUAAGCAUGAUACCGAAACUGUGGAUGUGCAUUUAUGCACGUGGUAGGAGAGCGUUCUAGCGGCGGUGAAGCAUGACCGAGAGGACAUGUGGAGCUUCUAGAAGUGAGAAUGCCGGUAUGAGUAACGAAAGACAGGUGAGAAUCCUGUCCGCCGCAAGACUAAGGUUUCCUGGGGCAGGCUCGUCCGCCCAGGGUAAGUCGGGACCUAAGGCGAGGCCGAGAGGCGUAGUCGAUGGACAACAGGUUGAAAUUCCUGUACUGCACCGAAUCGUUAUGAGCGAUGGAGGGACGCAGGAGGCUAGCAGCGCGUGGUGCUGGAUACCACGUUCAAGCGUCAAGUCUGAGAGCGAGUCAAAUGCUUGCUCUCAUAAGGACAAGGCGUGAUGAGGAGCGAAAUUAAAGUAGCGAAGGCUGCGACGUCACACUGCCGAGAAAAGCUUCUAGCCAGAGACGGUGCACCCGUACCGCAAACCGACACAGGUAGUCGAGGAGAGUAUCCUCAGGUGAGCGAGAGAACUCUCGUUAAGGAACUCGGCAAAAUGGCCCCGUAACUUCGGGAGAAGGGGCGCUGGUCGCAAGAUCAGCCGCAGUGAAAAGGCCCAAGCAACUGUUUAUCAAAAACACAGGCAUCUGCAAAAUCGUAAGAUGAAGUAUAGGUGCUGACACCUGCCCGGUGCUGGAAGGUUAAGAGGAGAGCUUAGCGCAAGCGAAGGUUUGAAUUGAAGCCCCAGUAAACGGCGGCCGUAACUAUAACGGUCCUAAGGUAGCGAAAUUCCUUGUCGGGUAAGUUCCGACCUGCACGAAAGGUGUAAUGAUUUGGGCACUGUCUCAACGAGAGACUCGGUGAAAUUAUAAUACCCGUGAAGAUGCGGGUUACCCGCGACAGGACGGAAAGACCCCAUGGAGCUUUACUGCAGUUUAAUAUUGGGUAUCUGUCAAGCAUGUACAGGAUAGGUAGGAGCCGGAGAAGAUAGGACGCCAGUCUUAUC
rnacentral:rRNA from 1 species